CAUGGCGGAGCGCGGACAGCAGCCUCCUCCCGCGAAACGGCUCUGCUGCCGGCCGGGCGGCGGCGGCGGCGGCGGCGGAGGCAGUAGCGGCGGCGGCGGCGCGGGUAGCGGCUACAGCUCUGCCUGUCGGCCGGGCCCGCGGACGGGCGGAGCGGCUGCGGCGGCGUGCGGGGGCGGCGCGGCGCUGCUGCCGCCGGGCAAGACCCAGAGCCCCGAGUCGCUGCUGGACAUCGCGGCGCGCAGGGUGGCGGAGAAGUGGCCGUUCCAGCGCGUGGAAGAGCGCUUCGAGCGCAUCCCGGAGCCGGUGCAACGCCGCAUAGUCUACUGGUCCUUUCCCCGCAGCGAGCGGGAGAUCUGCAUGUACUCGUCCUUCAACACCGGUGGCGGCGCCGCGGGCGGCCCCGGCGACGACAGCGGCGGCCCCGGC
rnacentral:lncRNA from 1 species